rnacentral:rRNA from 1 species
UUUUAUUAAGAUAAAAUUUAAUUAAUUAUUAAAUGUGAAUCAUUAAAAAUAAAAAAUUKGGCGGUAUUUAUUAUUUAGAGGAACUUGUUUAUUAAAUUGWUAAUCCASGAAUGGAAAAACUUAAUUUUUUUUUWUWUWUUGUUGUUGAAAAAUUAUAUUAAUAGGUAAUGAUUAAUAAAUUUAAUUUUUAAAUUWUAAUUCAAAUCAAAAUGUAGAAUAAUUARGAGUUUAWUGAGUUMCAAUUAAUUUAAUUAUUGAAUUUUAAAAAUUUAAUUUUAUAAAUGAAAAUGGAUUUAAAAGUAAAUUUAUAUAAAUUAUAAAUGAA